rnacentral:rRNA from 1 species
GGGCCCGCACAAGCAGCGGAGCAUGUGGUUUAAUUCGACGCAACGCGAAGAACCUUACCUGGGCUUGACAUGUCCGUGUAAACCCUGGAAACAGGGUCCCUCUUCGGAGCACGGUCACAGGUGGUGCAUGGCUGUCGUCAGCUCGUGUCGUGAGAUGUUGGGUUAAGUCCCGCAACGAGCGCAACCCACGUCUUUAGUUGCCAGCAUUUAGUUGGGCACUCUAGAGAGACUGCCGGUGAUAAACCGGAGGAAGGUGUGGAUGACGUCAAGUCAUCAUGCCCCUUACAUCCUGGGCUACACACGUACUACAAUGCUACGGACAAAGGGCUGCAAGUUCGCGAGGACAAGCAAAUCCCAUAAACCGUGGCUCAGUUCAGAUCGUAGGCUGCAACUCGCCUACGUGAAGGCGGAAUCGCUAGUAAUCGCAGGU